UGAUCCCUACGGGAGGCAGCAGUAGGGAAUCUUCCACAAUGGACGAAAGUCUGAUGGAGCAACGCCGCGUGAGUGAAGAAGGGUUUCGGCUCGUAAAGCUCUGUUGGUAGGGGAGAAAGAUAGAGGUAGUAACUGGCCUUUUUUUUACGGUAAUUACUUAGAAAGUCACGGCUAACUACGUGCCCGCCGCCGCGGUAAUACGUAGGUGGCAAGCGUUGUCCGGGUUUAUUGGGCGUAAAGCGAG
rnacentral:rRNA from 1 species